CUAGCGACUUCGAGAGUUUGAUCCUGGCUCAGGACGAACGCUGGCGGCGUGCUUAACACAUGCAAGUCGAACGAGGAUACAUCGCGGAAGGCUUCGGCCGGAAGGGGUGUAUUCGAGUGGCGGACGGGUGAGUAACGCGUGAGCAACCUGUCCCAGACAGGGGGAUAACACUUGGAAACAGGUGCUAAUACCGCAUAAGACCACGUCCUCACAUGGGGAUGAGGUAAAAGGAGCAAUCCGGUUUGGGGUGGGCUCGCGUCCGAUUAGAUAGUUGGUGAGGUAACGGCCCACCAAGUCGACGAUCGGUAGCCGACCUGAGAGGGUGAUCGGCCACAUUGGAACUGAGAGACGGUCCAA
rnacentral:rRNA from 1 species